CCUACGGGCGGCAGCAGUGAGGAAUAUUGGUCAAUGGCCGCAAGGCUGAACCAGCCAAGUCGCGUGAGGGACGACGGUCCUAUGGAUUGUAAACCUCUUUUGUCAGGGAGCAAAAAACGCCACGUGUGGCGUUAUGCGAGUACCUGAAGAAAAAGCAUCGGCUAACUCCGUGCCAGCAGCCGCGGUAAUACGGAGGAUGCGAGCGUUAUCCGGAUUUAUUGGGUUUAAAGGGUGCGCAGGCGGAAUGUUAAGUAAGUGGCUAAAUGUCGGGGCUCAACCCCGUUGUGCCGUUAAUACUGGAGUUCUUGAGUGAGCGAGAGGUAUGCGGAAUGAGUGGUGUAGCGGUGAAAUGCUUAGAUAUCACUCAGAACUCCGAUAGUGAAGGCAGCAUACCAGCGCGCGACUGACGCUGAUGCACGAGAGCGUGGGUAUCGAACAGGAUUAGAUACCCGAGUAGUC
rnacentral:rRNA from 1 species